rnacentral:rRNA from 1 species
GUCCACGCCCUAAACGAUGUCUACUAGUUGUCGGGACUUAAUUGUCUUGGUAACGCAGCUAACGCGUGAAGUAGACCGCCUGGGGAGUACGGUCGCAAGAUUAAAACUCAAAGGAAUUGACGGGGACCCGCACAAGCGGUGGAUGAUGUGGAUUAAUUCGAUGCAACGCGAAAACCUUACCUACCCUUGACAUGGUUGGAAUCCCGAAGAGAUUUGGGAGUGCUCGCAAGAGAACCAAUACACAGGUGCUGCAUGGCUGUCGU